rnacentral:rRNA from 1 species
CAGCAGCCACGGUAAUACGUAGGGUGCAAGCGUUAAUCGGAAUUACUGGGCGUAAAGCGUGCGCAGGCGGUUAUAUAAGUCAGAUGUGAAAUCCCCGGGCUCAACCUGGGAACUGCAUUUGAGACUGUAUGGCUAGAGUGUGUCAGAGGGGGGUAGAAUUCCACGUGUAGCAGUGAAAUGCGUAGAUAUGUGGAGGAAUACCGAUGGCGAAGGCAGCCCCCUGGGAUAACACUGACGCUCAUGCACGAAAGCGUGGGAAGCAAACAGGAUUAGAGACCCCUGUAGUCCCUGUCUCUUAUAC